rnacentral:rRNA from 1 species
AACGAACGCUGGCGGCAUGCCUAACACAUGCAAGUCGAACGAACUCUUCGGAGUUAGUGGCGCACGGGUGCGUAACGCGUGGGAAUCUGCCCUUGGGUACGGAAUAACUCAGAGAAAUUUGUGCUAAUACCGUAUAAUGACUUCGGUCCAAAGAUUUAUCGCCCAAGGAUGAGCCCGCGUAAGAUUAGCUAGUUGGUGGGGUAAAAGCCUACCAAGGCGACGAUCUUUAGCUGGUCUGAGAGGAUGAUCAGCCACACUGGGACUGAGACACGGCCCAGACUCCUACGGGAGGCAGCAGUGGGGAAUAUUGGACAAUGGGCGAAAGCCUGAACCAGCCAUGCCGCGUGCAGGAAGAAGGCCCUCUGGGUUGUAAACUGCUUUUGAUAGGGAACAAAUGCCACUUGCGAGUGGAGCUGAGUGUACCUAUAGAAUAAGCACCGGCUAACUCCGUGCCAGCAGCCGCGGUAAU